rnacentral:rRNA from 1 species
GUGAGGAAUAUUGGUCAAUGGACGAGAGUCUGAACCAGCCAAGUCGCGUGAAGGAAGACGGUUCUAUGAAUUGUAAACUUCUUUUGUGCAGGAAUAAAGUGGAUUACGUGUAACCUUUUGUAUGUACUGUACGAAUAAGGAUCGGCUAACUCCGUGCCAGCAGCCGCGGUAAUACGGAGGAUCCGAGCGUUAUCCGGAUUUAUUGGGUUUAAAGGGUGCGUAGGUGGAUUGAUAAGUCAGCGGUGAAAGUUUGCAGCUUAACUGUAAAAUUGCAGUUGAAACUGUCGGUCUUGAGUGCAAAUGAGGUAGGCGGAAUGUGUUGUGUAGCGGUGAAAUGCUUAGAUAUAACACAGAACUCCGAUUGCGAAGGCAGCUUACUGGGAUGCAACUGACACUGAUGCACGAAAGCGUGGGUAUCAAACAGGAUUAGAUACCCUAGUAGUCC